GAGAUCUUUCAGCUCUUCAAGAAUUUUUUUCUAACAGGAUUUCUGAUUUUGAUCAGAAAAUCCAUG
rnacentral:snRNA from 1 species